UAGAGAUGUUGGACAGGUAAAAGG
rnacentral:piRNA from 1 species